ensembl:lncRNA
GGAUGAGUUCUACAGGAUCACCCUGGUACACCUUGAACCCAAAUUCAUGUCCAUGCUGGAUGAGUACACUCCCAAACUGUUGGCCCUUUUCCAUUCCAAGGGGGGAGCCAUGGGAUUGAAGUUGCAGGCUAUCAUAGCCAAGUCACCAAGCAAUCCUAGCAAUGACAUAACCAGAAAUCUGGUUAUUCGGUGCUUGAUGGUGUACCUUGGGGAGUCCAUUGAUCAACUGAUCAAAGAGUACAGUGAUGCUGAUGAGGAUGGUGUGUCACAAGAUCUUUCUGAACAGAGGAUGAAAAUCUACAAAAUCAAGGCUGUUGGAUCUGAGGAGGAUGACAUUGGCAUUGUGCUGGAGGGUGUGAGAGUUAUGCCUGCUCUGGGCAAUUUUCCAAGAGCAUGCGCAAUGCUGGUUGAAUUGACAUAUGCAGUCAAUCUUGCCUAUCCCAAAGAGCUAAAAUACACCUUGGAAGUAUUCCAGAAAACUUUCCUUGAACUGGAUUGUGCUAAGCUCUCACCAAAAGUGAACAGCCUCAAGAACAAGUUAUUGGCUUAAGUGAGGACUCUGAAAGAAUGAAAGGGAAAUAAGCUCACUGAAAACCUUUGGUUUGUCUUUGUUAGAUGCAGCUAUCUUUUCAGUUUUCAAAAUAAUUUCAACUUAUUCAUGUCUUACCCAAAUGACCUGCAAUGUGUCAGGCUGUAUUUGUGCUCUUCAUUUUAAUGUUUGUUUUUUAUUACCUACAAGUUUCUUAGGAAUAUUCUGUUUGAAAGGCAACAAAUUGGAGGAAUCACUAGUGAAGCUUUUCUUUGUUUAUAGUGUAUGUUACUAUAAAACAUUAGUUUAAAACAACUUUAAAAUUUAACAGAAGUGCAGUCCUGUAGCUGUAGAAAUGUUACUUCCUCUUACAUGUGUCUUAGAUUUUCUCAGGUUAAACAUCCAAAUUGGGAUAAAAGGUUGAUUUACAUUAUUGAUAUUCCAUGUACAUGAGUUAAAAAACCUUUGUUCUACAGUUAUAUUGAGUGAUUCAAUUUAACAAAAGAUUGACUAACUAAAGUUUUUGUUAGUCAAUCAUAAAUAAGUAACAGAGAUAAAGGAAACGG